rnacentral:siRNA from 1 species
UGGAUUGGGUUCCAUGGAAUAGCG